GCCUAGUGGUCUGCGUAGGGAGGUCUGUGUGGGCCAGCUGUCUUCAAAGGGCCAGGCCAGAGGUGGAUCGCUCAGUGUGACUGUUGGUGAGAAAAAAAAUCCAAACAGAUUUUGAUAAUUGACAGUAGUUUUGUUGCCUGCUUUCCUAACAGUUCAGAGAAAAAGGUCAUUCUUCUCUUUGUGACAGGUUGUGCAGAAUGUCUUUAAAUUGGAUUUGGGAAGAACCAAGAGGUACAUUCUCAUGUUGAAAUCAUGUUAAAGGAGAGACUAGAAACUGUGUACAUAUAUAAAAGGAGAAGAGGAGCUCAGCUGAACUGGAGAGUCCUGAGCUGCCAGGUGCAGGAGUACUGAUUAAAGCAUCACGGAGCCCAAGUGCAAGUACCCCUGAAGCCUUAACGACGGCGUCAGCCAGAGGCUAAGCCAGAGAAGGUGCUGCUCCCCCUCCUGCUCCUUCCCCAUGGGAUGGUGUCCUGGCGGCUGAGCACCAGCGUGGGGAUUGUCUGGUUGGCGAGGAGCCCUGAACAAAAGGAAACUAGAUUGCAAAAUAUAAAGGAAAUGGACCAGCAUACACCAAAUCCAAGCAAAGAAUCUCUGCAGCUGCCUCUAGCCAUGCACGUGGAAUCCCAAAUUCUGACUUUCUAUCAUUGGCAAAAGAGAAAGGGCCCAAGAUUCAAGAGAUAUGAAUUGUUUGUUUUUACAAGGAAUGCUUUGCCUUCCCUCCCCAUGCUCAUGGGGGCAUCUCUAGCAAUGGGUUUUGCC